AUACGUAGGGUGCGAGCGUUGUCCGGAAUUACUGGGCGUAAAGAGCUCGUAGGUGGUUUGUCGCGUCGUCUGUGAAAUUCCGGGGCUUAACUCCGGGCGUGCAGGCGAUACGGGCAUAACUUGAGUACUGUAGGGGAGACUGGAAUUCCUGGUGUAGCGGUGAAAUGCGCAGAUAUCAGGAGGAACACCGGUGGCGAAGGCGGGUCUCUGGGCAGUAACGGACGCUGAGGAGCGAAAGCAUGGGUAGCGAACAGGAUUAGAUGCCCUGGUAGUCCAUGCCGUAAACGGUGGGCGCUAGGUGUAGGGGUCUUCCACGACUUCUGUGCCGUAGCUAACGCAUUAAGCGCCCCGCCUGGGGAGUACGGCCGCAAGGCUAAAACUCAAAUGAAUUGACGGGG
rnacentral:rRNA from 1 species